GUAGCUCAGUUGGCUAGAGCGCUUGACUGGCAGUCAAGAGGUCGUGGGUUCGACUCCCAUCUUCUCCA
rnacentral:tRNA from 1 species